UUUUUAGACGGAAAGUAGCAUAUGUUAUUGGAACUAAAGUUGGAGGUUUAUUUCACAAAGUUUUUAGUUGAAAGUUAUUUUUACGAUUCAUCUUUAGCUAAGAGGUUUAAUUACUAAAAACCCUUUUUAAGGCUUUAUGUUAUUGAAUAACAAAGUUCAUACAUAGCCAAAGACCAACAAAAACAAAAGCAGAAAAAUAAAAGGUGCAGAAGAUCAAAUCUAAGGCGGCGACAUUGUUACCAAAAACAUUUCCAUCGACUUCAGUAGCCACUGAAUUUGGUAGAAGAGGAAUAGAAACCCAAUUAUUGAGAAGAAGACGGUUUCUUCACCCGUUUCCUUUUUUAUUUAGUUUAGACAGAAAGUAAGAUAUUUGCGUCUGAACUGUCUUUACACCACUAGUUUAACCUUACCUUUUUUGGAUCACAGAACAUCAUCCUCGAUAGAAUGUUCUUAGCAUUUGAGUCUUCAAAAUAUAUCGGUGGAAUUUUAUGUUUACCACUUUUAUGAUAUUUUUAUUCAUUUUUACCAUUACUAAAAGGAUAUUUUCAAAAAUACUUUUUUCAUUAAGUGGCAAAAGACUUUUAUACACUUGUUCUCUAGACUAUGUUUUCGAAUUAUACUGUUUCAAAUUCGAACUUUUUUAUAAAUUUUUUUUUUGAUUUUUUUCAAAUUUUUUUUCUUCAAAAUUUCUUUUUGAAAAUCGAAAAUUAUGUUUGAAACUAUUUUUUAAAUUUUUUUAAU
rnacentral:lncRNA from 1 species